rnacentral:rRNA from 1 species
AGUGAACGCUGGCGGUAGGCCUAACACAUGCAAGUCGAACGGCAGCACAGUAAGAGCUUGCUCUUACGGGUGGCGAGUGGCGGACGGGUGAGGAAUACAUCGGAAUCUACUUUUUCGGGGGGGAUAACGUAGGGAAACUUACGCUAAUACCGCAUACGACCUACGGGUGAAAGCAGGGGAUCUUCGGACCUUGCGCGAUUGAAUGAGCCGAUGUCGGAUUAGCUAGUUGGCGGGGUAAAGGCCCACCAAGGCGACGAUCCGUAGCUGGUCUGAGAGGAUGAUCAGCCACACUGGAACUGAGACACGGUCCAGACUCCUACGGGAGGCAGCAGUGGGGAAUAUUGGACAAUGGGCGCAAGCCUGAUCCAGCCAUACCGCGUGGGUGAAGAAGGCCUUCGGGUUGUAAAGCCCUCUUGUUGGGAAAGAAAAGCAGCAGGUUAAUACCCCGCUGUUCUGACGGUACCCAAAGAAUAAGCACCGGCUAACUUCGUG